UACGAAGGGGGCUAGCGUUGUUCGGAAUUACUGGGCGUAAAGCGCGCGUAGGCGGUUUUGCAAGCCAGAGGUGAAAUGCCUGAGCUCAACUUAGGAAUUGCCUUUGGGACUGUGAGACUUCGAGGACUGGAGAGGUGAGUGGAAUUCCCAGUGUAGAGGUGAAAUUCGUAGAGAUUGGGAAGAACACCGGUGGCGAAGGCGGCUCACUGGCCAGUUUCUGACGAUGUAGCGCGAAAGAGUGGGGAUCAAACAGG
rnacentral:rRNA from 1 species